CCCAUGACACAGACACUGAGCGGUUUUCACUGGUGAAUUUGGACAGGUCCCCAGCUGUUCCCAAGGCACCAGGGAAGUCACAGUCAGAUGGACACGUGCCUUCAAGUGAGCUUCUCUGAUAAGGAAAUCACUUCGACCGCGAUGGUACAGCCUCACCGACAUCAGGAGACUGGCCCGUCCACUCAAGUGAGAAGCCCAGAAUCAAGAAGGAAGUGUAGACAACUCUGAAUACCCUAAAAAACAAUGAAUGGUACACUUCAAACAGACAUUUCACAACAUGCUGGAAGGACAGGAAGACUGUAUUUGCUGAUGGACAGAUUUUUUGACGGGGAUCAGUGAGGAUGGCUCAUCUCUGUUCCAUGUGGCGUCUGCUGGGAUUGGAACUCCCUAGACCACUUUUUCACGCACAUGUUUGGU